AGAGUUUGAUCCUGGCUCAGAACGAACGCUGGCGGCGCGCCUAAUACAUGCAAGUCGAGCGAGAAGGUGUAGCAAUACACUUGUAAAGCGGCGAACGGGUGAGGAAUACAUGGGUAAUCUACCAUCGAGUGGGGAAUAACCAACCGAAAGGUUGGCUAAUACCGCGUACGCCUCCGAGUCUUCGGGUUCGGAGGGAAAGCUGCACUGUGAGUGUAGCGCUCUUUGAUGAGCUCAUGUCCUAUCAGCUUGUUGGUAGGGUAACGGCCUACCAAGGCUUUGACGGGUAGCUGGUCUGAGAGGACGAUCAGCCACACUGGCACUGCGACACGGGCCAGACUCCUACGGGAGGCAGCAGUAAGGAAUAUUGCGCAGUGGGCGAAAGCCUGACGCAGCGACGCCGCGUGGGGGAUGAAGGUCUUCGGAUUGUAAACCCCUUUCGGGAGGGAAGAUGGAGCGAGCAAUCGUUCGGACGGUACCUCCAGAAGCAGCCACGGCCAACUUCGUGCCAGCAGCCGCGGUAAUACGAAGGUGGCAAGCGUUGUUCGGAUUCACUGGGCGUACAGGGUGUGUAGGCGGUUUGGUAAGCCUUCUGUUAAAGCUUCGGGCCCAACCCGGAAAGCGCAGAGGGUACUGCCAGGCUAGAGGGUGGGAGAGGAGCGCGGAAUUCCCGGUGUAGCGGUGAAAUGCGUAGAGAUCGGGAGGAAGGCCGGUGGCGAAGGCGGCGCUCUGGAACAUACCUGACGCUGAGACACGAAAGCGUGGGGAGCAAACAGGAUUAGAUACCCUGGUAGUCCACGCCC
rnacentral:rRNA from 1 species